UACGUAGGGUGCAGGCGUUAAUCGGAAUUACUGGGCGUAAAGCGUGCGCAGGCGGUCUUUUUAAGUCAGAUGUGAAAAUCCCCCGGGCUUUAACCUGGGAACUGCAUUCGAGACUGCAUUGCUAGAGUAUGGGAGAGGGAAGUGGAAUUUCCGGUGUAGCGGUGAAAUGCGUAGAUAUCGGAAGGAACAUCAGUGGCGAAAGCGACUUCCUGGACCAAUACUGACGCUCAUGUGCGAAAGCGUGGGGAGCAAACAGG
rnacentral:rRNA from 1 species